GACGAACGCUGGCGGCGUGCCUAAUACAUGCAAGUUGAGCGCUGAAGGUUGGUACUUGUACCAAAUGGAUGAGCAGCGAACGGGUGAGUAACGCGUGGGGAAUCUGCCUUUGAGCGGGGGACAACAUUUGGAAACGAAUGCUAAUACCGCAUAAAGACUUUAAACACAAGUUUUAAGUUUGAAAGAUGCAAUUGCAUCACUCAAAGAUGAUCCCGCGUUGUAUUAGCUAGUUGGUGAGGUAAAGGCUCACCAAGGCGAUGAUACAUAGCCGACCUGAGAGGGUGGUCGGCCACAUUGGGACUGGGACACGGCCCAAACUCCUACGGGGGGCAGCAGUAGGGAAUCUUCGGCAAUGGACGGAAGUCUGACCGAGCAACGCCGCGUGAGUGAAGAAGGUUUUCGGAUCGUAAAACUCUGUUGGUAGAGAAGAACGUUGGUGAGAGUGGAAAGCUCAUCAAGUGACGGUAACUACCCAGAAAGGGACGGCUAACUACGUG
rnacentral:rRNA from 1 species